rnacentral:rRNA from 1 species
UUAGAGUUUGAUCCUGGCUCAGAUUCCCUUANNGNGGCAUGCCUUACACAUGCAAGUCGAACGGCAGCACGGGAGCUUGCUCCUGGNGGCGAGUGGCGAACGGGUGAGUAAUACAUCGGAACGUACCCAGGAGUGGGGGAUAACGUAGCGAAAGUUACGCUAAUACCGCAUAUUCUGUGAGCAGGAAAGCGGGGGAUCGCAAGACCUCGCGCUCUUGGAGCGGCCGANGNCGGAUUAGCUAGNUGGUGAGGUAAAAGCUCACCANGGAGACNAUCCGUAGCAGGNCUGAGAGGAUGANCUGCCACACUGGGACUGAAGACNCGGCCCAGACUUUUUUUGGAGGCNCCUNCUGGNGAAUUUUGGACAAUNGGGGGNAACACUGAUCCANCCAUGCCGNGA